GAUGAACGCUGGCGGCGUGCCUAAUACAUGCAAGUCGAGCGAACAGACGAGGAGCUUGCUCCUCUGACGUUAGCGGCGGACGGGUGAGUAACACGUGGAUAACCUACCUAUAAGACUGGGAUAACUUCGGGAAACCGGAGCUAAUACCGGAUAAUAUAUUGAACCGCAUGGUUCAAUAGUGAAAGACGGUUUUGCUGUCACUUAUAGAUGGAUCCGCGCCGCAUUAGCUAGUUGGUAAGGUAACGGCUUACCAAGGCAACGAUGCGUAGCCGACCUGAGAGGGUGAUCGGCCCCACUGAGGCUGAGACCCGGUCCAGGCUCCUACGGGAGGCAGCAGUAGGGAAUCUUCCGCAAUGGGCGAAAGCCUGACGGAGCAACGCCGCGGGAGUGAUGAAGGUCUUCGGUUCGUAAAACUCUGUUAUUAGGGAAGAACAAAUGUGUAAGUAACUAUGCACGUCUUGACGGUACCUAAUCAGAAAGCCACGGCUAACUACGU
rnacentral:rRNA from 1 species